UAACAAACCAUUUCCCAUCUUCUUGUGAUGGGAGGUCUAGGAGAGAAAUUGAACUGCUCAUUCAUCAAUCUAUCAGCAGUAACCUGGUUGUUUCUUUCACAAUCCAAACUGCUCAGUCUACAGCAGAUGGGUUGCCCUUCCACAUCCUUCUUUGUUCUUUUUUAGGGGUCAGCUUCUGUUUCCACCAAAUCCCUUUCUUCAAAGCUGCUUUUCACACAGCUGCCCUCAUUCUCCAUCUCGUCCUGCUUUGCAGCUCUCUUGGAUGUACAGUGCUCUAUGGCUUGUUCCUGCUUGUAUCCCAUGGUUGUGCAUCUUGCUCCUGGGAGGGAGAAUGGUCACCAGGAUCCAGCAAGCAACCUGAAGGAGUCCAACAAGUAUGCAGCUUUUUACCAACCUGCAGAAUACAAAAAUCUCUGCAUUCAGGAGAAGUGCUAAGAACAGCUUCUACAGAGAGGCAACUGCAAGUAGUGCCUGCAUAAACCUUCAUCUGAGCAGGGAAAUGGGAAAUUGUCUCUGGUUGCGCACAGGUGGGUAAUAUCACAGCUUCAAAAGCCAAGUGGAGGAUAGCAACAAGCUGUGGUAACCAGUGGUAGUCAGGGUAGGUGUCCCAGGAAUGGAAUUUUCCUUUGGAUGGGUGCUACUGUGGAAUAAGUAGAAAAGGGACAAGCUCCAGGGUCGCACUGAAAACUAAUGACUAAAGAGA
rnacentral:lncRNA from 12 species